rnacentral:rRNA from 1 species
GGGGAAUAUUGCACAAUGGGCGCAAGCCUGAUGCAGCGACGCCGCGCGGGGGAUGACGGCCUUCGGGUUGUAAACUCCUUUCGCUAGGGCCUAAGCGCAAGUGACGGUACCUGGAGAUGAAGCACCGGCCAACUACGUGCCAGCAGCCGCGGUAAUACGUAGGGUGCGAGCGUUGUCCGGAAUUACUGGGCGUAAAGAGCUCGUAGGUGGUUUGUCGCGUCGUUUGUGUAAGCCCGCAGCUUAACUGCGGGACUGCAGGCGAUACGGGCAUAACUUGAGUGCUGUAGGGGAGACUGGAAUUCCUGGUGUAGCGGUGGAAUGCGCAGUUAUCAGGAGGAACACCGAUGGCGAAGGCAGGUCUCUGGGCAGUAACUGACGCUGAGGAGCGAAAGCAUGGGUAGCGAACA